AUUGAACGCUGGCGGCAGGCCUAACACAUGCAAGUCGAGCGGAUGAAGGGAGCUUGCUCCUGGAUUCAGCGGCGGACGGGUGAGUAAUGCCUAGGAAUCUGCCUGGUAGUGGGGGAUAACGUCCGGAAACGGGCGCUAAUACCGCAUACGUCCUGAGGGAGAAAGUGGGGGAUCUUCGGACCUCACGCUAUCAGAUGAGCCUAGGUCGGAUUAGCUAGUUGGUGGGGUAAAGGCUUACCAAGGCGACGAUCCGUAACUGGUCUGAGAGGAUGAUCAGUCACACUGGAACUGAGACACGGUCCAGACUCCUACGGGAGGCAGCAGUGGGGAAUAUUGGACAAUGGGCGAAAGCCUGAUCCAGCCAUGCCGCGUGUGUGAAGAAGGUCUUCGGAUUGUAAAGCACUUUAAGUUGGGAGGAAGGGCAGUAAGUUAAUACAUUGCUGUUUUGACGUUACCAACAGAAUAAGCACCGGCUAACUUCGUG
rnacentral:rRNA from 1 species